UACGGAGGGUGCGAACGUUAAUCGGAAUCACUGGGCGUAAAGCGCGCGUAGGCGGUUCGUUAAGUGGGAUGUGAAAUCCCCGGGCUUAACCUGGGAAUUGCAUUUCAAACUGGCCGACUAGAGUACGGUAGAGGGAGGUAGAAUUUCCUGUGUAGCGGUGAAAUGCGUAGAUAUAGGAAGGAAUACCAGUGGCGAAGGCGGCCUCCUGGCUCGAUACUGACGCUGAGGCGCGAAAGCGUGGGGAGCAAACAGG
rnacentral:rRNA from 1 species